rnacentral:rRNA from 1 species
CCUACGGGGGGCUGCAGUGGGGAAUAUUGGACAAUGGGCGAAAGCCUGAUCCAGCCAUGCCGCGUGUGUGAAGAAGGCCUUCGGGUUGUAAAGCACUUUCAGUGGGGAAGAAAGCCUUGGGGCUAAUACCCUCGAGGAAGGACAUCACCCACAGAAGAAGCACCGGCUAACUCCGUGCCAGCAGCCGCGGUAAUACGGAGGGGUGCGAGCGUUAAUCGGAAUUACUGGGCGUAAAGCGCGCGUAGGCGGUCUGAUAAGCCGGUUGUGAAAGCCCCGGGCUCAACCUGGGAACGGCAUCCGGAACUGUCAGGCUAGAGUGCAGGAGAGGAAGGUAGAAUUCCCGGUGUAGCGGUGAAAUGCGUAGAGAUCGGGAGGAAUACCAGUGGCGAAGGCGGCCUUCUGGACUGACACUGACGCUGAGGUGCGAAAGCGUGGGUAGCAAACAGGAUUAGAUACCCUUGUAGUC